rnacentral:rRNA from 1 species
AGAGUUUGAUCAUGGCUCAGGACGAACGCUAGCUACAGGCUUAACACAUGCAAGUCGAGGGGAAACGACAUCGAAAGCUUGCUUUUGAUGGGCGUCGACCGGCGCACGGGUGAGUAACGCGUAUCCAACCUGCCCACCACUUGGGGAUAACCUUGCGAAAGUAAGACUAAUACCCAAUGACGUCUCUAGAAGACAUCUGAAGGAGAUUAAAGAUUUAUCGGUGAUGGAUGGGGAUGCGUCUGAUUAGCUUGUUGGCGGGGUAACGGCCACCAAGGCGACGGAUCAGUAGGGGGUUCUGGAGAGGAAGGUCCCCCACAUUGGAACUGAGACACGGUCCAAACUCCUACGGGAGGCA